AAUGAACGCUGGCGGCAGGCCUAACACAUGCAAGUCGAACGGAUCCUUCGGGAUUAGUGGCGGACGGGUGAGUAACGCGUGGGAACAUACCCUUUGGUACGGAAUAGCCUCGGGAAACUGGGAGUAAUACCGUAUGUGGUCGAGAGACGAAAGAUUUAUCGCCAAAGGAUUGGCCCGCGUUGGAUUAGGUAGUUGGUGGGGUAAUGGCCUACCAAGCCGACGAUCCAUAGCUGGUUUGAGAGGAUGAUCCGCCACACUGGGACUGAGACACGGCCCAGACUCCUACGGGAGGCAGCAGUGGGGAAUCUUAGACAAUGGGGGAAACCCUGAUCUAGCCAUGCCGCGGGAUCGAUGAAGGCCUUAGGGUUGUAAAGAUCUUUCAGGUGGGAAGAUAAUGACUGUACCACCAGAAGAAGCCCCGGCUAACUCCGUGCCAGCCGCCACCGUAA
rnacentral:rRNA from 1 species